CGAAGCCGCGAGGUGGAGCGAAUCCCAAAAAGACCGGUCUAAGUUCGGAUUGCAGGCUGCAACCCGCCUGCAUGAAGUCGGAAUCGCUAGUAAUCGCGAGUCAGCAUAUCGCGGUGAAUACGUUCCCGGGUCUUGUACACACCGCCCGUCACACCAUGGGAGUUGGCAACACCCGAAGUCGAUGAGCUAACCUUUUAGGAGGCAGUCGCCUAAGGUGGGGUUGAUAACUGGGUGAAGUCGUAACAAGGUAUC
rnacentral:rRNA from 1 species